CUCAGGAUGAACGCUAGCGGCAGGCUUAACACAUGCAAGUCGAGGGGCAUCGGGAGUAGCAAUACUGCCGGCGACCGGCGCAAGGGUGCGUAACGCGUGAGCAACAUGCCCGUAUCAGGGGGAUAAUCCAUGGAAACGUGGUCUAAUACCCCAUAGUAAUUAUGUAAGGCAUCCUUAUAUAAUUUAAAGCUUUGGUGGAUACGGAUUGGCUCGCGUGACAUUAGCUAGAUGGUAAGGUAACGGCUUACCAUGGCUACGAUGUCUAGGGGUUCUGAGAGGAAGGUCCCCCCACACUGGAACUGAGACACGGUCCAGACUCCUACGGGAGGCAGCAGUGAGGAAUAUUGGACAAUGGAUGGAAAUCUGAUCCAGCCAUGCCGCGUGCAAGGAAGACGGCCCUAUGGGUUGUAAACUGCUUUUGUAUGGGAGCAAUAAGGGCUACGCGUAGUCCGAUGAGAGUACCAUACGAAUAAGCACCGGCUAACUCCGUGCCAGCCGCAGC
rnacentral:rRNA from 1 species